CGGAGGGCGGAAGAAGGUGUCGUUGGCCGAGCUGCAGCAGGUGGUGGCUGAAGCCCUAGAGGAGCGCCUUCAACCCCUCGACACCGCCCUCAGGCUCAUCAGACUGGACACCUUCGCUGACAACAUCCAUCGUCAGCUGGGCACUCUGGAACACAUUCAAAGCAAGUUACUAACGGAGUUCGGGGAGCUGAGGGCUUCUGUAGGCGAGGUCUCCAGGAACACCGUCGAACUGGCCAAGCAGGUGGCCACGGUGGACGCUCGUCUCUCCUCCCUGGACAGAUCCUUCCCUCACCGCCGGGACCAGCAGCUGCCCCAGGACAACCUCGUGCCGGAACCACUGGACUCUGAGGACUACCCACAAGCAGCGGUGCCUCACGACCUGACCCAGGUCACGCCGUCAGGGAGGCGGUCAGCUCCAUUAACAACAGGUUACAGGCGACCGAGCGGAGGUUCAAGGAGGACUUGGCGACGCUGGAGAACCGCACGACGGAGGCGCUGAAGAAGUCCCACUCUGACCUGGACCGACGUAUGGCCAUCGCUGGACUUGACAGUGUCCUCAUCCUCAACACGCUGGACAAGAUGGCCAACAAGACCUGCUCAGCUCAGGCUAUGGAGAGGCGAGGAGGAACACAGAACCACCCGGGCAGAGAAGACGCCUCCCUCCCCGCCACACGUUCACGAACCCAGAGGACCCACCUGGAGGGGAGCGCCACGCAGGACGAGCUGGCUUACUUCCCCGCCGAGGAGGAGGAAGGGGAGGACGAGGGGAAUGAGGUACCAAGCAGCGGGUCAUCAGGGGAGAGAGUGAGGACGUGGUUGAUCCGGGAGAGUGGUCGACCGGUGACUGAAGUGCAAACUCUGAACCUGGGCAUGGUGACCCGCCUCGCCUCGGAGAUCGCCAGGCAGAUGGCCGAGGAGGAGGC